rnacentral:rRNA from 1 species
CCGGCGAUGUCCGAAUGGGGAAACCCAGUGCAAUUCGUUGCACUAUCGUUAACUGAAUACAUAGGUUAACGAGGCGAACCGGGGGAACUGAAACAUCUAAGUACCCCGAGGAAAAGAAAUCAACCGAGAUUCCCCCAGUAGCGGCGAGCGAACGGGGAGCAGCCCAGAGUCUGAAUCAGCUUGUGUGUUAGUGGAACGGUCUGGAAAGUCCGACGGUACAGGGUGAUAGUCCCGUACACCAAAAUGCACAGGCUGUGAACUCGAAGAGUAGGGCGGGACACGUGGUAUCCUGUCUGAAUAUGGGGGGACCAUCCUCCAAGGCUAAAUACUCCUGACUGACCGAUAGUGAACCAGUACCGUGAGGGAAAGGCGAAAAGAACCCCGGCGAGGGGAGUGAAAAAGAACCUGAAACCGUGUACGUACAAGCAGUGGGAGCACCUUCGGGUGUGACUGCGUACCUUUUGUAUAAUGGGUCAGCGACUUAUAUUCUGUAGCAAGGUUAACCGUAUAGGGGAGCCGCAGGGAAACCGAGUCUUAACUGGGCGUUAAGUUGCAGGGUAUAGACCCGAAACCCGGUGAUCUAGCCAUGGGCAGGUUGAAGGUUGGGUAACACUAACUGGAGGACCGAACCGACUAAUGUUGAAAAAUUAGCGGAUGACUUGUGGCUGGGGGUGAAAGGCCAAUCAAACCGGGAGAUAGCUGGUUCUCCCCGAAAGCUAUUUAGGUAGCGCCUCGUGAACUCAUCUUCGGGGGUAGAGCACUGUUUCGGCUAGGGGGUCAUCCCGACUUACCAACCCGAUGCAAACUACGAAUACCGAAGAAUGUUAUCACGGGAGACACACGGCGGGUGCUAACGUCCGUCGUGAAGAGGGAAACAACCCAGACCGCCAGCUAAGGUCCCAAAGUCAUGGUUAAGUGGGAAACGAUGUGGGAAGGCACAGACAGCCAGGAUGUUGGCUUAGAAGCAGCCAUCAUUUAAAGAAAGCGUAAUAGCUCACUGGUCGAGUCGGCCUGCGCGGAAGAUGUAACGGGGCUAAACCAUGCACCGAAGCUGCGGCAGCGACACUAUGUGUUGUUGGGUAGGGGAGCGUUCUGUAAGCCUGCGAAGGUGUGCUGUGAGGCAUGCUGGAGGUAUCAGAAGUGCGAAUGCUGACAUAAGUAACGAUAAAGCGGGUGAAAAGCCCGCUCGCCGGAAGACCAAGGGUUCCUGUCCAACGUUAAUCGGGGCAGGGUGAGUCGACCCCUAAGGCGAGGCCGAAAGGCGUAGUCGAUGGGAAACAGGUUAAUAUUCCUGUACUUGGUGUUACUGCGAAGGGGGGACGGAGAAGGCUAUGUUAGCCGGGCGACGGUUGUCCCGGUUUAAGCAUGUAGGCUGGUUGUCCAGGCAAAUCCGGAUAAUCAAGGCUGAGGUGUGAUGACGAGGUACUACGGUGCUGAAGUAACAAAUGCCCUGCUUCCAGGAAAAGCCUCUAAGCAUCAGGUAACAUUAAAUCGUACCCCAAACCGACACAGGUGGUCAGGUAGAGAAUACCAAGGCGCUUGAGAGAACUCGGGUGAAGGAACUAGGCAAAAUGGUGCCGUAACUUCGGGAGAAGGCACGCUGGUGUGUAGGUGAAGUCCCUGCGGAUGGAGCUGAGACCAGUCGAAGAUACCAGCUGGCUGCAACUGUUUAUUAAAAACACAGCACUGUGCAAACACGAAAGUGGACGUAUACGGUGUGACGCCUGCCCGGUGCCGGAAGGUUAAUUGAUGGGGUUAUCCGUAAGGAGAAGCUCUUGAUCGAAGCCCCGGUAAACGGCGGCCGUAACUAUAACGGUCCUAAGGUAGCGAAAUUCCUUGUCGGGUAAGUUCCGACCUGCACGAAUGGCGUAAUGAUGGCCAGGCUGUCUCCACCCGAGACUCAGUGAAAUUGAACUCGCUGUGAAGAUGCAGUGUACCCGCGGCAAGACGGAAAGACCCCGUGAACCUUUACUAUAGCUUGACACUGAACAUUGAGCCUUGAUGUGUAGGAUAGGUGGGAGGCUUUGAAGCGUGGACGCCAGUCUGCGUGGAGCCAACCUUGAAAUACCACCCUUUAAUGUUUGAUGUUCUAACGUUGGCCCCUUACCGGGGUUGCGGACAGUGUCUGGUGGGUAGUUUGACUGGGGCGGUCUCCUCCCAAAGCGUAACGGAGGAGCACGAAGGUUAGCUAAUCCUGGUCGGACAUCAGGAGGUUAGUGCAAUGGCAUAAGCUAGCUUGACUGCGAGCGUGACGGCGCGAGCAGGUGCGAAAGCAGGUCAUAGUGAUCCGGUGGUUCUGAAUGGAAGGGCCAUCGCUCAACGGAUAAAAGGUACUCCGGGGAUAACAGGCUGAUACCGCCCAAGAGUUCAUAUCGACGGCGGUGUUUGGCACCUCGAUGUCGGCUCAUCACAUCCUGGGGCUGAAGUAGGUCCCAAGGGUAUGGCUGUUCGCCAUUUAAAGUGGUACGCGAGCUGGGUUUAGAACGUCGUGAGACAGUUCGGUCCCUAUCUGCCGUGGGCGCUGGAGAAUUGAGGGGGGCUGCUCCUAGUACGAGAGGACCGGAGUGGACGCAUCACUGGUGUUCGGGUUGUCAUGCCAAUGGCACUGCCCGGUAGCUAAAUGCGGAAGAGAUAAGUGCUGAAAGCAUCUAAGCACGAAACUUGCCCCGAGAUGAGUUCUCCCUGAGACUUUAAGUCUCCUGAAGGAACGUU